CUGAAAUGUCAGUCAGAUGAUAAAGUAGUAAAAUGUAGUGAGUUAAACUCUGGAGGAAAAAAUGCAGGUAAUUGUCAAAAACUAGAUUUGGAGCUGAAGGGCGACGAAGUGGUAAGGGACCAAAAGAUAUUAACUUUGUCUUUUACAUAUGUGACAUCAGUAUUCAUUAAAAUACUAAAAAUUAAAUAUUAAGAUGCAAAAAUGGAGACACAUUGUUAAAACGCAAACAUGGCAUCAAAUAAUCCAGUAUAGUGAAAUCUUAAACACCUUGAACAAAACAAUAACUUACAGCAUUUACGGUGGUCCCCAACCCAUCAUAAUACAUCACUCCUAGCUGAUAAGUUGCUUGAUGAUCUUUCUCCUGGAUUUCUUCAAACUGUGCCAAGGCUUCUUCAUACCAGCCCUAAAAGUCCCAGAAAAUAUUUCAUUUUAUGAUGUGUUUAAAGUAAUCCUGAACUGAAGUAUCAGAUGGUCAUUUGUGCCUAAGGGAUAGAUACACAAUUAACAGAUGAUGUGCCAUAUUGAAAAUGGCCCAAACUGAGAAGACAUUGUCUUAAGCCAUCAAGCUAUGCCAUCUCAGAUAGGUUGUGUACACUGAGGCCUCAAGAGAUCAAGUAAACAAAAGGUUAGAGAGAAAGGAAGACAUGAGCUAAUAAUUUCCCGAGUGCUAAAAAGAUCAUGAGGGAGUGGGGACAAUUCCUCGGGGUCUGAUGAAAACUUGAAGCUCUAUUUCUGAAGCCCAUCUAAUAGCACACAGAAUUUUUCUUAGGUCUACCUACCAAGCUAUCUCACCAUAAUGUGGAUAAAUAAGCAAAUGGUCUCCUCAUGAUGAAUAGGAUAUAUGAAAAGCUACUUUUCAAACCAAAUAAUGAUGGGAUUCAAUUAUUAUUAAUGUACAAAUAUCUCCUGAAUGAUACUACAUAUUGUGAAUAAAACCAUAAAAUGUAUGUUUUCAACUUGCAGUGUGAAAUGGAUCUUUCAAAAUGACUUCUUUGGAAUAACUUUCGUGAAGAAAGACCAGAUGUCUCCUUACUCUUACUUCUGUGUGCCACACAUAAAGCCACAACCAUAGCCUGUGUGACUUUACAGAAUUUCUCCGGCAUAACAAUUGUGGAUCCUGUAAAUGAGGAGAACACAUACCAUGGUUAACUUUCUUCUUCCAGAAAAGCACAAAAGGAGACUUCAUUCCUAGUUGGAACGGAUCCUAAAAGCAUCUGCCCCACAGUGCCUGGUUGCAGGACUCUGAGGUGGCAGCAACUCCUGUCUGUCUGUUGAUCCUGGGUCCUGUCAUUCGCAACUGUUGCCACUGAGUGGCAACAAAUGACACUGCUCACAAAGAUGGUUCCUGUCACUAGGGACUCUCUGUUACUUUGUAACUGAAGCUUAUCAGAGUAAUCCAUUUGAAAUGAAAGCAUUUGUCUGUUUUACCUGGGAAUACACUGUAUUUUAGCUGUGGUGCUCAGUUUUCGCUUCCAAUCUGUAUUGGACUGCCAUGUUACCAGAUGGAUCACCACUGUGUGGAGAGCCUGUUUGUUUACUUACAGUGAAAGUACUUGCCCCCAUGCCCUUCCUUCUGGGUGUGGCAAGUUUAAAUCAUUCUCUGAAUGAGAAGGAAAAGGUAGAAGAUGCCUAUUACAUCCACUAGGCUAUGGUAAGCAUUCACCGAGAGCCAAGUAGGGUUUCCUUUAUUUUCCCCCAUUUACUUUGUAUUCUGUGAGAAAUGACACUGAGGAAGGAAGAUGACAUAUUCAAAACCCUAACUGCAAUCACAAAAAUGGGAUUUGCAUGCUUCAUCCAGCCUGUCUUUCAUCCAGCCAUUUCCUGUUUGGAAACCUGUGUUGGCCAGCAGUGGCUGCCAGGGACUUUUUGUGUGUUCAGUAUUGGGUGUGCCCAAGAUGUGGGUCUAAAAGACCCAGACCAAACUUGAUAGAAAAGUUUUAAGUGUAGAUGGAAAGUCAGUGGAUGAAUUCUCAGAGAGAGAAUUGUGUCCCUUAAGGGUAACGGGAGUCCUUACUUUGAAGAACUUACCUGGCCUUGCUUCCAGGGCCUUUUGAAAAGGUCAUAUUUGAAUAGAGUUCAAGGGGACAGCUCACUGUUCGGAGGUAGUUAAGUUUUAUAACACCACUUUCCCUCCAAAGACUGGCCACCUGAGGCAACAGUGGCUAUUUCCAGCUGGCCUCUAAUUGGAUGAGGCAGCACAAACCACUAAGUCAGGCUUCAAGUGCUUCGAAUCUAUCUGACCCACAGGAGAAUUUUGCUUUCUAUUUUUAGACUCCUUAUUUUUCCUUUUUACACUUGGGAUUAAACCUAGAGCUUCAUAUAUUAGGCAAGAACUCUACCACUGAGCUAUUAUCAGCUCCUUUUUUUUUUUUGAGUGAAUUUCACUCAACACCCAGUGGUAAAUAGAUAUGCAUAUAAUUUAGAGAUUAUGUAUGUUUGUAAAGCUCAUGCCAUUGUAGUUUUGAAUACAUGGUAGAAAGAGACGAUUUACUUUUGGAAAUCAUGUAGUAAAGUACAUAAAUAAAACUCUUUUAUAUGGAAAAUUGUUCCUCACCCUCCCAUUGUGGCAACAGUUCAGAAUAGAAAUAAUCAUAAAAAAAGACAAGUAUCUUAAGCAGCAAGAUUUUAAAUUGGUCUGCUGUUCUGGUGACUUCAAGAAGUAUAUCAAUCAGGGAAACUCAACCAUCUAGAAAACAAUUGCAAGAGACAAGACUUCUGGUCCCUGCCCCAAGUCAAGUCCUUAGAUGAUUGUCAAGUGACAGAUAACUCCAGUUGUCUCUAGUCUUCUGGGAAACAUGUGUCGUUCUCAGAGGAAGUCAGAGACUUCAAUUUUAGAGCCAGACAGAGAGAAUGCUUUCUGAGAGGAAAACUUGAUCUUUUAUUUGAAAUCAAGAGGGGAAGGAACUCUUUUUAGUCUCACUGUUCUGGUAUCAGUCUGAAAUGUCUUUUCUUGAUUCAUGAUUAUCAAUCAGCUGAUGGAACUAUUCUGAGAGGUUUGAAAGAGUUUCAAAGGUGGAGUAAGUAGGUCACUUUGUAUCUUAUCUUAGGUGUACUUUAUUGAUAGUCAUUCUCUUUUCCCCUCCCGUCCUCUCUUCUCCAGAUAACCUACCUUCCUAUCUUGGGUUUUAAUAGAUAUAAAUUGUUAGUAUGGACCUUGAGUGUGUAAAAUUCUUGUCUAUCAUGUAUCACCUGGGUACCACAACCUGAAUGGAUAAAAAAUGGAUUGCAGAAACUCUAAAGGAGUUUAGAAAAUUCCUCUCAACACAUCUUUGUCUUACUGUGGUAUUAUUUUUCCACAUCAAAAAUGAAAUGAGUCCUUUUCUGCAGUGGAACAAUCCUUCUGUACACUGUGUCUCUAUGAUUGGUUUAAUAAAUAAGCUGAGUGCCCAAUAGCAAGGCUUGUUGUUUUGUUAUUAAUAUGGGAGCUGGAGAUUGAAUGCAGGCCCUUUAUAUAUCAGCACGUUUCCAAUUCAGAUAUUUUCCCCAGCCCCUUGCCAUCUUUUAAAGUUGACUUUCACCUAUUCUGAAAAAUGUUGAAGUCGCUCUAUGUUGUUUAAUAUCAAAUUUUAGCCUAUUUCUUUAUAUAAGGAAACAUAUUCAUCUCAUUAGAAUGCAAAUUGCAUUGUAACCUUAUAAACCAUUAAAUUAUACACCUAUGAAAGAAUUGUGCUAAAACAAAUUUAAGAUUUAUUAUCAGAAAAAGUUUGAUUUGUGCCUGUUUUAUACACCGAUACAACUGGAUCAAAUACAGUUUUCUCAGGCAAGGGAGUGGGGGCAUGAGUGGAAAAAGUUUUAAGAAGCCCUGUUCUAGGGAACAGCCUAAAACCCUCAAAUGAUCACCAUAAUGGACAGUGUGUCUUAUCAAAGAAAUAUAUUGGCUAGUGAAACUAAAUGGUUGAAAAACUUUGUGACUAGUUGGGAGAUUUGUGAUUGUGUUAAACUUCCUAUUCUUUAAAACUAGUUCCAUACUGGUUCAAAUAUCUUGUUACAACUAUUGAAAAAUAAUACUAUUAAACCAGCAAACUAAAUAUUUUGUUAAAACUCCUUUAGGGCUUACAGGAAUAAACAUAAAAUGUUUUAAAUUUCUCUAAGUCUUGUGUUUCAAAUAAAUUUUGAGGCUUACCAGACGAUAUGUCUCUUACCUGUGUGUUUCCCCUGUUGUUAACAUUAGAUUUACCACAAUCAGAAAGUCAACAUUGGUACAUUACCAGGAUUUCAAGCAUUAUAGUCAUUACA